rnacentral:rRNA from 1 species
CCCUUAGAUGUCCUGGGCCGCACGCGUGCUACACUGACGCAUACAGCGAGCACUUUCCAGUUCUGAGAGGCUACUGGUAAUCAUCAAUAUGCGUCGUGAUGGGGAUAGAUCUUUGGAAUUCUGGAUCUUGAACGAGGAAUGCCUAGUAAUCGCAGGUCAUUAGCCUGCGAUGAUUAAGUCCCUGCCCUUUGUACACACCGCCCGUCGCUACUACCGAUUUCGAGUGGUCAGGUGAAUCUUUCGGACUGUGGGCGCCCUUGAGGUGUUCGCGGAAAGUCAGGUAAAUCUUAUCACUUAGAGGAAGUAAAAGUCGUAACA